rnacentral:rRNA from 1 species
UACGUAGGGUGCGAGCGUAAUCGGAAUUACUGGGCGUAAAGCGUGCGCAGGCGGUUAUGUAAGACAGAUGUGAAAUGCCCGGGCUUAACCUGGGAACUGCAUUUGUGACUGCAUGGCUAGAGUGUGUCAGAGGGGGGGUAGAAUUCCACGUGUAGCAGUGAAAUGCGUAGAGAUGUGGAGGAAUACCGAUGCGAAGGCAGCCCCCCUGGGCCAAUACUGACGCUCAUGCACGAAAGCGUGGGGAGCAAACAGG